rnacentral:rRNA from 1 species
CAGUCGCCGCGGUAAUACGUAGGUGGCAAGCGUUGUCCGGAAUUAUUGGGCGUAAAGGGCUCGCAGGCGGUUUCUUAAGUCUGAUGUGAAUGCCCCCGGCUCAACCGGGGAGGGUCAUUGGAAACUGGGAAACUUGAGUGCAGAAGAGGAGAGUGGAGUUCCACGUGUAGCGGUGAAAUGCGUAGAGAUGUGGAGGAACACCAGUGGCGAAGGCGACACUCUGGUCUGUAACUGACGCUGAGGAGCGAAAGCGUGGGGAGCGAACAGGAUUAGAUACCCCCGUAGUCCCUGUCUCUUAUAC